GAAGACUGAGGCUUUCUCUAUAGCUUUCCUCCUCUCCUCUGAGCCACCGUGAGAAUCAUCCUUAACAGUCCAUUUGUGACAAUGUAGGAGCUCUCUAGCAUACACCCUGAAACUUCCUGAGUCUGCCUGUUACCCGGUUUCGGAGCUGCUUCCACAUUUUUAGUCAACACCAUCCAAGAUAGACCCUAUAUGUCCUGGACUGACAGGUUAUUACUCGUACUUGACAGGCAUCUAGAAUCUAACACGGAAAUGAGGACAACUCUCUCAGGAGUAGAAGAAAGAUGGAAGAAUCUGGAAUUCUAAAUAAUGUGAGCCAUAUCCACCUUUCCAGGCUAGAACACUUUCUUCCAGACUACUAUGUGGCAGAAAUUAUGACAUACAUGUUACCAGAAUCGAUAUAAUUUUUAACAAAAUUUUGUAUUUUGGGAUAAUUGAAGACUCGUAUACGAUUGUUAAGAAAUAAUACAGAGAAAUCUCAUAUAUCCUUUACCCAGUUGCACCAAUAGUAAUAUCUUGCAAAACUAUAGUA